rnacentral:rRNA from 1 species
UACGGAGGGUGCAAGCGUUAUCCGGAUUCACUGGGUUUAAAGGGUGCGUAGGCGGGCAGGUAAGUCAGUGGUGAAAUCUCCGGGCUUAACCCGGAAACUGCCGUUGAUACUAUCUGUCUUGAAUAUCGUGGAGGUAAGCGGAAUAUGUCAUGUAGCGGUGAAAUGCUUAGAUAUGACAUAGAACACCCAUUGCGAAGGCAGAUUACUACACGAUCAUUGACGAUGAGGCAC